GUGAACUUUCCUUUUUUUAUGAAAUCAUAUUAUAUUACAUAUAUUUUUUCAAUUCAUUUUUUUAAAUUUAUAAAAAAAUUCCUUUUUAUUAUAUAUAUAUAUAUAUAUGUUUGUUUGAAAAUUAUAAAAAUGAAACUUAAUUAAAAAUAUAUAUAAUAGUAUUUAAAAUGUUAUAUUUUUAAUUCAUUAAGGGUAUCAGUGUAAUCAACCAUUAUGAGACUUAACGUGAGAACAACACAUAGGAAACUGACUUCUCAAAUAAUAUUGUAGAGAUUGUUUUAUGUCUUAAUCUUUUAUAAUAGAAAAUAUUAUUUUCAAGAUAGCAACACAUAUAUAUAAGAAUCAUCUUUUUUUUUAUUUUGAUAAUUUAUCAUAUUAGUUUAUAAUCAAUUUGGUAAUAUAAAAAUAAUAUUUUCUUUUUGAUAAUUUUUCAUAUUAAUUUAUAAUAAAUUUGGUAAUAUAAAAAUAUAAUCUAAUAUUAUUAAUAGAAAAAAAAAAUUUAUAUAAUAAGUCAAAUACCUAAAAUCAUGUUUAUUAUUGUGAUUAACUUUUAAAAGCACUUAUAUAUUACAAAUAUUUUAUACAAAUAUUUUUGAUUAAUUCAUAUUUAAUUAUAUUUUUUAUAUAUCUUAAUGUUUUAUAAUAAAAAAAAAUUUUCCAGAUAACAACAAUAUAUCUAUACAAGCAAUUAGAUAAUAUAAAAUACAAUCUAAUAUUAUUAAUAUAAUAUUUGUUUUAAUUAUACAAUAAGUCAAAUACCUAAAAUCAUGGAGAAUAUGACACAUAAGCAAAUCCAGUUCUAAAAUAAUAGUAUAGAUUAUUUUUCCAGAUGUUUAUUUAUUUAUUAUAAAAAAUUAGUUUUUAAGCAGUUCUUCUAUCUCUACUUUGUUUUAGUUGUCCAAAAAAAAAAUAUCUACUUUGUUCAUGCAAAACAUUUGGAAUAAAUAUGAUCCAACUGUAAAUUUAUUUGGAUAAAAAUAAUGUUGAGAGCGCACCUAUACUAUUAAAACAUGAUCAUUUCUAUAUUUUUUCUUUUAAUAAAAAAACUUAAUUUUACCUAAAAUGUCCAUAUUUCUCCAAAUGAGUUUUGAUUCACAUUAAACAUAUUUAGUCUUUUGAUUUUGGGCAUUAACUACAAAUGCAGUUCUGAUUCUUUAGCUAAGUCUGCGAAAUCAUUUCAUAUGGAGUUUUAUUACAUUGGUUGUUCUAUUCCGGUCUGGUUAUCCAGACUACCUUAAGUUGAAUAAUAGAAUAGCUGUUCGAUGUAAGAAAAAACUAGAAAUGCAGUUCAAACAAGUCAUGGUUCUUGGGUCAUACUAAUCAAGACACAAAUUAUUAACCCAUUUUUUGUUAGGAUCCAAUUUUCUGGGUUUACAGUUCUGGUUCCGUUGUGGAUUUAUUUUUCGGUUCAGUAUCGCACUUUGGAUUUUUAGAUCAAUUUAAAUAUUUCAGACAAAAAUAUUCGGAUGAUUCAGUUUUAUCAGGAAAUUCAAAUAAAUUUAAAUACUUGGAUACAAAGUAAUAGGGUAGUCCAGUUUUUUGCAGCCAUAUUCACAUAGCUAUCCCUCGUCUUCUUGGUGAAAGCCUUGAUCUCAGCAUCUCGUCUUGCUAGAAGUUGCGGCCACAUCACAUAAGAUUAAAAAAAAAACUCAAGCAGAUCUUCUGCCUCCUGUGCGAAAAGGCAGAAUACUAAGGUUAUCUAAGCCUUCUCCUAAUCAUUUUAAGUGUUCUUCAGCAAAAGACAAAAGUGAAGAACAAUAAUUGAUGCUGAAAGAAAUUAUAUUCUAUAGAGAGGAACAAUUAUUGAUGCUCAACGCUAGCAUUUCUAACAGUUUGUAGAAUAGAGCCUAAACAUAAAACAAAAGAGAUUGUCCAACCGGUUUUAAGCGGCUCAAAGAUCCAACCUUAUUGGAAAGACUGAAGAAGAGUAUCGCAACAAAGAUAUAAAUAAGAAAUGCUUAUCUUUUUUUUUUUUUUGGUCAAAAAGAAAUGCUUAUCUAUACACAUGAGAAACUCAUUCAAAAUAUCUCAUUUAAGUUAUUGGCGUGGAUUAUUUUAUUUUAAAAAAGUGACUUUAGCCUAGUGGUUCUAAGAGAAAUUAUCAGUGCUAGAGGUGUUGGGUUCAAUUACCCUUAACUGCAUUGUGGAAGCACCGUAGCCUAUUGGUUAAGGUUUAAAGGCUUCUACACCCAGGUCUGGGGUUCGAAUCCCAGACUAUGCAAUUUAUUGCAGAUUACAGGAAAUCCAGGUUUCAAGUACCGGAGAAAGCGGUUUAUUAAACAAUUAUGCAGACUACAGAGGAAAAGGCUUGCAAGGGAUCUUCAACAUGGUGCAAGUAAAUCUGACCAGGCGUGGAUCUUCAUAGGACGGCUCAGGUGAUGCAGUUAGUCAUAGGUCUUCAUAAGGCAGGUAGUAUUGCCGGUUGUCGAAUCGUCUAUGUAAUCUUUCCAAUAUCAUAACUGUAAGAUCGUAAUAAAUCAGCGUUAAAAAAAAAGUUAUUGGCGUGGAUUUUAUUAUUUCUUUAGUUUACAUUCCUUUUAGUUUCUUAUACAAAUAGUAGUUUAUAAACUAUUAUGUUCAAUUUAAAUUCUUCGCAAACAAACAUCAAAGGGGAAACCAUAAAUAUUACCCUUAAGUUUCUCCAAAAAGAGUUGCUAAUUCAAUCAUAUUUACACUAUGUUUGGGUGAUUAAAGUUGUGUCGUGGGUAGUGUGGAUUCAAUCAAAGAAAGGAAUGACACUAAAUUUGUUUGGUAUUAGUACUUAUUAACCUUCUAGUAAGAAGUAUAUGGGGAUAAUGUGUACUUUUUUUGUGCAAAUUGAUAAACUGUAUAUGAUUGUCAAAGUUUAUACCGUGUAAACAAACAUGAUAUGUGGUCCAUGGCAUAUUGGGUAUCUUCAAAAUUUUCUCCCAUCAUGUGAAAUUUAUUGAGAACACUUAUGAUUUCUUAUACAAGUGGAACCCAUUGAAAAUGUUCUAUGUACAUGAAGAAGAGACUGUUUGUAUUAAGAGAGCGUUACCAAAAAGGACACAUUGUGUUUUCUCUUUACAAUUAAAGACACAUUAUGCAUUUAGGACACUUUCCUGUACGGAUCGAUAUGUUAGAGACGAAAAUGUCCCUUUCUUAUUUUAGUAAAGCAACGGUAAAAGUAAUUUAGUUAGAAGAGUUUGUUAGAAUUUGCAUUAAAUGCAUAAUUUAUUUCCGUAUGAGGUUGGUGUACUGGUUUACUUAUAACUAAAGUAGGGGUUAUUGGUUGUUGUAUUUUAAUGGAUUUGAAAAUCCGAACUAAAUUAUUGGUUCUGUGAUUUUCAAAUCUGUAUUAAAAUCAGGUGUUAUUGGUUUAAUGAUUCAAAAAUUCUAUAUCAAAUCAAGUGUUAUUCAAUCGUACGGAUUUACUAAUAUAUUUGAUUUUAUAAUGGAUUUGAAUGGAUUUGUUUGGAUAUUUUAGUUAAAAAUACAAAGACUCAAAUCCAAGAGAAAACCUCCGGAUUUGCAUAUUUUACUUGGAUUUAUAAAUACUAUAUAGAUUUCUAAAUCAAUCAAAAUAUAUAAACCAAUAACACCAAAGUUUCUUUGUGUAGUCUCCCCAUCGAAUAUUCAUUCUUUUCAUUUUCUAAUAACAACAAAUUUAUUAACUUUUAACUAAAAGUUCUAAAUCUGACUUUUUGAAUCGAAACCGUAACAAUUGAUUCUACUACAACACAUGAUCAAAGCAAACAUCGUGUGAGACGAUUAGCAAAUCUGGAGUUUUUCUAGGAAUAGAGAUUGGCGCGGUAAAACGGUCGCUGAAUUCCGAGCUCACCCACAGCGGAUCCCGAGCUCGCCCACGAUGAAUCCGGAGCUCAUCCACAGCGACUCAUGAGCUCAUCCACGAUUGAUUUCAUUACAACCUCUGGUCUCAUUAUCACACCCAUCGAUCCUCUCUUGAUUUUUUUUUUGAAACUCUCAGUAUUAGGGUUUAAGUAUUUGAGAAAGUAUAAUUGAGUUAGGAAAAAAAGAUGAAUUUGUGAGGUUUGAUAAUGAGUUACGAGAGAAGAGGAAUGAGAAGUGAAGUUUGGUCUAGUUAAAGGGUGUUAAUGUCUUUAGACGCAUGAAAUGUGUGUGGCAAGUCUAAUGUGUCUCCAAGUAUACAAUUGGAAACUCAUAAAAUGUUUCUAAGAGUAAAUUUUUCCAUCAUGUGAAAUUUAUUAAGAACACUUAUGAUUUCUUAUACAAGUGGAACCCCAUUGAAAAUAGUCUAUGUACACGAAGAAGAGACUGUUUGUGUUAAUACUAAAGUGGAUUUUUUUUUCAACACUCAUCCUCCACAAACAUCUUUAGGCAAAAAAAAGUCUCAUUGUAAUGGAUUAUCGAUCUUCCAGACUAAGAAACUAGAUUUUCCAAGAAAAAAAAAACUUAUUCUCUGUCUCCACUGUACUGAAUAGUUGAUCUUCCAGAUUAGGAUUUCAAGCAAAAAUCGAAACGGAGAACCUCAGGUUUUCUCUCCACUGUAAUCAGUUAUAGGGAACUAGAUCUCAAGCAAAACUGAAAACCUAGAAUCUCGCAUUGUAAUGAACUAUCAAUCUUCCAUAUUAGAAACUUUCAAGCAAAACUCCCUGCUCCAUAUUCCGAUUAGGAAACUAGAUUUCCCCCAAAACUUGAAACAAUCUCGAUCUUCUUGAUUAUGAAACUAGAUUAAUUUUGCAUACGAUUCAAAAUCAAUCAAACCCCUGAGUUCGCGACCUAAAUUUUCUCUAUAAUUAAUGGUUGAUUAAACUUUUAUUUUCGUCUUCUCUAACAAAACAAAGUACAUAGUUUUACCAAAAAAAAAACAAAGUACAUAGUUAAUCAGAGAGAGUGAGAGGGAGACUAAGAAUUGAUCGAACAAAGUGAUUUCUUACAAUCAUCGUUGUCCCAGUAGAGAGCCUUGUUUCCUAGCAGAUUGAGCUCCCGAGAAUCUGAAAGUAAGCGGGAAGAGAAGCCUCUCAAAACAGCUUUUGAUAUUAUAAAUGAUGUCGUUUUUCUAUGUUUGGUCUAUUUUUUAUUUCUUUAAAUUUAUUCCUAUUCUCCACCUUUUUGAACUCUCACUUGUUUAACAAGCAAUUCAACUUACAAUUUUUGUUUAUAUUUAUUAUACUUACAUGAUUGCCAAUUUAUUUUUUGUUUUUUUUUUCAAUUUACUCAAUCCCCCAUAUACACAUUUGUUUUGAAAUUAACCAAGAGAUGUUCAGAUGUGUCUUAAUCAUAUGAAUCAAAAGGUUUUAAUCAUGUCUUUAGCUUUUAAUUCUUAAGCAAAAUUCUGAGAUGUUAUUUUACCCUUUUAGGAACAUGAAUGUUUUUUUUAAAACACAAGAACAUGAAUGUACUAACUAUAUCUAAUAACAUAAAGAAGAGACUCUCUCUUUCUACAGCGAGCCACGUCACUAAAUGGAUUCGUCAGGAGUCGACACGUGUCCAAAGCCAAAUUACACUGCGUUUCAUUAAAAAACCAAACACUGUGUUUCAUUAAACUUUGUCUUACGUUGGUUUUUUAAUUGGAUCUGGGCCUUACAUUAUUUCAAUUUGUAUUAGGGUUUUCGUAUAGAUUUUGUCUCCGUCACUCGAUGAAACUUAUAUCCUGAAUAUGGCUAAAGCAGCGAUCAUCCUUUUCGAUCUGAAGACCGGACGAUGCUCCUCCACCAUUCAAGUCCGGUUGCUCCGCUUCUUGGAGUCCAUGAACCUCCGAUGGGGUAGCGAACUCAUGGGAGUCGAUAUGUUUCUGCUUGAUUCCCAGAACCGUCCGUCGUGUUGAAUCUUUAUUACAGGAUUUUCUUAUCAUUUUUUGUUUAGUCGACCAUGAUGCCGGCGACGGUGAAUGUGAACCGGCUUGCAAUUCACAUGCCUAAUCUGAAGGUGGGUUCACUAUAUUCCCUAGCCGGUUUUGAUGUGACCCGAUGUAAUCAGAAUUACCGACUGUCGGACUCCUCUAUGAUGGUUCGUUUCAGCGAUUCAACAUGUUUUGAUGAGAUAACCGAACCGGCUAUUCCGAUCUUUCCGGUUCACGAGCUGCUUGGUCUUGCCAACACAAACACUCAGCUUCCAGGUACUGCUCUUACCUGUAAAUUUGUCUAUUUUGUUUAGUUAUCUAAUAAUUAUCAUUCCACAGACAUUAUCGGUGAGAUAACUGCUGCGAAGAGCACUGUCACCGACCCUCCACAUGACAAGAACCAUUUGAUGGCAACCAUUAAAAUGGAUAAGUAGCUAAUUCUUCCAUAUUGAUCCAUUUAGAUUUUAAUACUGGUUUUCUAUUUGAAAAAAUAUUACAUUUUUUUAUCACUUUUCUUAUGUACGUGUUAUCAGUGAUGUUUCGGUCACUAUGAGUAUGUUCGACUCACAGCCUGUCAAGCUCCACAAUCAACUUGAAUCAAUGGGAGGUGAUCCAAGGGUUCUGGUUGCAACCAGUAUCAACCCCAAAAUUGUGGGAGGUAAUUACUUGAGCUUAACAUCACAUAGUCUCCUUUUAAGUAUUCUCAGUACAUUAAAAGCAUUUUUAUUUUUCAGGUCAUCUGUUUCUGAAUGCCACUUCAGGCACACGCAUAUAUUUUGACAAGGAAACCAUCGCAGGGGAGACUUCUACAGGCUGGUUGCCCAAGACACUGGGCUUAAGGGCUACGACAAGGUGGAAUCCCUGAGCAUAGCUGAUCUCAAUGAAUUUGUCAAUUCUGCUUCCUCUCAGGUGUUCCAACCAUAUAUUUUAUUUGAGUAUAGAAUGAAUUAAAGUUAAAAGUUUGAUGCUGCUGAUUUACGAAUGUAGGAGAUUGAUUUCAUCUGCACCGAGAAGGUCACUGGUAUCAAGCUGGACAAGGGAUGGUGCUACGUUUCUUGCUCCAACUGUACCAAGAAGCUCCAACGCACUGUCUCGGCUUUCACAUGUCUGGAUUGUAAUAAUACUAAUGCUGUUGGUGUUCUGAAGACUGAUGUAUGUUCAAUUUGUUCACACCGUAUUUACUUUCAUUGGCGUUUGUGUCCACACACAUAGUCAACUUUGAGUUUUGAUACGUGUUAACUGACUGCUAGGUAUCGGGUGGAGAUGUCCAUUGCAGAUGAAAAUGUUGAAGGCCUCUUUGUUUGUUUUGAUGGGGUUAUGACAAAACUGCAUAAUAUGAGAGCCUAUGAAGCUUGCCAUCUUUUGGUAUGUUUUUACUCUGCCUGUCAUGCAUCUUCGUCUUGAAAUUUUACUCAUGAGAUUGCAUUCAACGGUUGCUUCCUCAUGCUGGUGAUGGUGUGAACCCGUGGGACACUCCGGCACCUCCAUCUGUUGCAGACAUGGAGGGUAAAACCUACAAGUUCCAGGUCAAGGUCAGUGCAUACAACUUCACUGAAAACCAUCAAAUUUUUACGAUCUCCUGCAUCCUUAGUGAAGGUGACCGUAUGCCGCUCCCUCAGUUUGUUGCCAAUGUAAGUUCCAUGUACUAAAUUACGGUCAGUUAGCUUCACGGUAUAUAUUAAUUGGUUAUUUUGAUCUGAAUUGGGAGGUGAUGAUGACAAUGGAGACGACAACAGUGGUGCCAUCUCGGUUCGUGUUAAGGUGGAGACUGGUGGUAUCAGUCAGGUGCAAGGAUCCUCGGGAAUUAAGAAGAAGGCACGUACGGCAUGGGUGGAGAGGAUUGGAAACUUGAAGUUGUGCAGUAUUUUCCGCUUUCAGUAAUGCUUACGCAUGUGUUUUUUUUAUCCAUGUUUUAUUGACCACUUAAUCUUUGAAUCUUGGUUAUUUUAUAUUUGGUUACAGACGAGCUUAUCACGUUUUCCA